GUGCUCACUUCGGCAGCACAUAUACUAAAACUGGAACGAUACAGAGCAGAUUAGCACGGCCCCUGUGCACGGAUGACAUGCAAAUUUGUGCAGUGUUCCAUAUUUUU
ensembl:snRNA U6 U6 spliceosomal RNA